GCUGGCAACCACUCAGAUCAUUAGCGGACUGUGUAGAAUGAAAUAAUGCGCAGAGUACAUUUGUGGACGCUGCGCGGGUGCCAGCAUCGACGGCUUACUCUUCGACCGGAGUCGACCCUUGAUCCGGCGCGGUAUCCUCUCGGCUAUGUUCCUGUGGACGGAAGUGAGUCGAUUGAUUCGGUGUAUGCGCUACUAAAGCGAGGUCACUUUGUGGCACCGCUGAAUCGAAUCGAGGUGAUCCACAAGGUAAGUGUGGGAGCGCGGGCGUUGUGUAGAUCGGAGUACCCCAUUGUCUCGGCGCAAGAUGUGCUGACGUUGCACCUGCGAGAAAAAGAGAUCCUCGGUCGUGUUCUCAUUCGCCGAGACUUUUGGACGCUCGAUGAUUUCAACGACGCCGAGCUGAAUCAAAGUUUCGGUGUACAGAACCUGUACUUUGAUAACUACAAGUGGUCUCAUGUUCUGUGGCGGCGCUUUCAGGCAUAUGUAGAGGAGUAUUUUCCGGUAUCAGAGCACACGCACCUGCUAUACAGCGAGUAUGUGCAGCUGGUACGCAGUUUCUCCUCGUUUGAGCAGGGGACGUUGGUGAAGCCGGCGCUGCCAAAGUCUGUCCGGUUGCACUUGCCCUAUGGUGCACUGCCGCCUAGCAAAUUUACCCAGGAGCCGAUCUUGCUGCUCAAGAACUGGCUUCAAAAUUUUCGUGGGCCCCUCAUGCUGCACAAGGCCCUUGUUCUCAAUGCCGGCUCAGGUGUUGUGGCGUUUGCAACAAAGGUUUGCCAUGUGCCGAUGGUGCGCGGAGUGGACUCGCGGCCUCGGUUCAUCGAAGCAUGUCGGAAGGAUGCCGCUCGCUCGCCAAAGCUGUCGAAUGUCAGCUUUCAGGUGGCGGAGUUGUUUCCGGAAGUCACUGACGAGAUGAGGGAAGGGUCCCGAAAGGGCAAAUACGACCUUGUGAUUUUUUACCCGGAUGAGGAGAUUGUGUCCGCGCUGUGGGAGGGUGAGAACGACGCAUUUGCGCCAACUGCACAGGGCUAUGCCGGGAAACUAGAGGAAUUCUUCGAGAAGGUAUCUCCGCAUCUUACGGAGAACGGUGUGAUCGCAGUGUGCUGUACGAAUAUCCACGCGUUGUUGUUUCCGGACUACCCACACCCCAUCGAGUAUGAGGUGAAAAUCAAUCGCCGAUUUGUUAUCCUGGACUAUUAUGACACUCCGGCACGGUACUCUGGCAAUAUUCGCACAAAGUUUUUGGAGCCGGCUAUUGAAUGCCAUCCCGAGUUGAAGAGGAAGCUGCGCUCCGAGCUGUGGAUUCUGCACAGGACUGAGUCGAUUGGUCACUUUGGGUUCAUUCACGGCAUUCCUGGCGCCAAGCCGCCGAGUAUGGAAAAAUGGCGGACGAAGAAUAUGGGGCUGGAGCGGCAGAAAGCGUUGAAGGAUCACGUGCGCUUGAUGGGCGGUGACUGGGGGGACUACAAGAGUCGCCUUAUCAGGAUGCUCCAGGAGCAAACAGAUGAGCCGGAAGACGAUGUAGCGGAGGCUGUUCGGAUGACUCUAGAUCCAACGUAUCCAGCGAUUCUGGCGGAGCGCGCUCGCAAGGCGGUGGAGAUGCGCGAGAAAGACAGAGAGGAAUUUCACCGCUCUGUAGCCCUCGAGUACUGCGACUGCUCUCCGAGAGAGGCGUUUAGGAGGAGAAACGUCUCAUCGUGAAACUGCUAUUCGUGGAUGUGCGUAUAUAAGAUACUCUUCGCAUGCAUUGCUUUUUUUGUGUGUGUGUGUCUUCUCAUAAUUGUGUAGUGGUUUGUUCUUGCGGAUAGCGUUC
rnacentral:misc_RNA from 1 species